rnacentral:misc_RNA from 1 species
GAAAUGCGAUAAGUAAUGUGAAUUACAGAAUUCAGUGAACCAUCGAAUCUUUGAACGCACAUUGCGCCCGCCAGCACUCUGGCGGGCAUGCCUGUUCGAGCGUCAUUUCAACCCUCAGAACCCCUUGCGGGAUCUGGCGUUGGGGAUUGGCAUCCAGCCAGCCCCGAAAUCUAGUGGCGGUCCCUCCGCGACCUCCCCUGUGCAGUAGCGAUACCUCGCAGCGGGACAGCGGUCUGACCACGCCGUAAAACCCCCAACUUCUCAAGGUUGACCUCGAAUCAGGUAGGAAUACCCGCUGAACUUAAGC